AGUGAACGCUGGCGGUAGGCCUAACACAUGCAAGUCGAACGGCAGCACAGGAGAGCUUGCUCUCUGGGUGGCGAGUGGCGGACGGGUGAGGAAUACAUCGGAAUCUACUUUUUCGUGGGGGAUAACGUAGGGAAACUUACGCUAAUACCGCAUACGACCUACGGGUGAAAGCAGGGGAUCUUCGGACCUUGCGCGAUUGAAUGAGCCGAUGUCGGAUUAGCUAGUUGGCGGGGUAAAGGCCCGCCAAGGCGACGAUCCGUAGCUGGUCUGAGAGGAGGAUCAGCCACACUGGAACUGAGACGCGGUCCAGACUCCUACGGGAGGCAGCAGUGGGGAAUAUUGGACAAUGGGCGCAAGCCUGAUCCAGCCAUACCGCGUGGGUGAAGAAGGCCUUCGGGUUGUAAAGCCCUUUUGUUGGGAAAGAAAUCCAGCUGGUUAAUACCCGGUUGGGAUGACGGUACCCAAAGAAUAAGCACCGGCUAACUUCGUGCCAGCAGCCGCGGUAA
rnacentral:rRNA from 1 species